rnacentral:SRP_RNA from 1 species
CUGGGCCUUCUGCACUUCUUUCUUGUGAACCCCGUCAGAUCCGGGAGGAAGCAGCGGCAGCAGUGAUUAGAAGGUGCCGGAAUGUGCCUAG